rnacentral:rRNA from 1 species
GAUGAACGCUAGCGGCAGGCUUAAUACAUGCAAGUCGAGGGGCAGCAGGACUGUAGCAAUACAGUUGCUGGCGACCGGCAAACGGGUGCGGAACACGUACGCAACCUACCCAAAACUGGGGAAUAGCCCGGGGAAACCCGGAUUAAUACCUCGUAACAUAAUGAUGUGGCAUCACAUUAUUAUUAUAGCUCCGGCGGUUUUGGAUGGGCGUGCGCCUGAUUAGGUAGUUGGCGGGGUAACGGCCCGCCAAGCCUGCGAUCAGUAACUGGUGUGAGAGCACGACCAGUCACACGGGCACUGAGACACAGGCCCGACUCCUACGGGAGCAGCAGUAAGGAAUAUUGGUCAAUGGACGCAAGUCUGAACCAGCCAUGCCGCGUGAAGGAUGAAGGUCCUCUGGAUUGUAAACUUUCUUUUAUAUGGGACGAAACCCGGAAUUCCUUCCCGAUUGACGGUACCAUAAGAAUAAAGCACCGGCUAACUCCGUGCCAGCCGCCG